rnacentral:rRNA from 1 species
AUUGAACGCUGGCGGCAUGCCUUACACAUGCAAGUCGAACGGCAGCACGGGAGCAAUCCUGGUGGCGAGUGGCGAACGGGUGAGUAAAGUAUCGGAACGUGCCCAGUCGUGGGGGAUAACGUAGCGAAAGUUACGCUAAUACCGCAUACGAUCUAUGGAUGAAAGCGGGGGAUCGCAAGACCUCGCGCGAUUGGAGCGGCCGAUAUCAGAUUAGGUAGUUGGUGGGGUAAAGGCUCACCAAGCCGACGAUCUGUAGCUGGUCUGAGAGGACGACCGGCCACACUGGGACUGAGACACGGCCCAGACUCCUACGGGAGUCAGCAGUGGGGAAUGUUGGACAAUGGGCGAAAGCCUGAUCCAGCCAUGCCGCGUGCAGGAUGAAGGCCUUCGGGUUGUAAACUGCUUUUGUACGGAACGAAAAGGUUUGGCCUAAUAAGCUGAGCUCAUGACGGUACCGUAAGAAUAAGCACCGGCUAACUACGUGCCAGCAGCCGCCGUAA